CGGCAGGCUUACACAUGCAGUCGAGGGGUAUAUUUCUUCGGAGAUAGAGACCGGCGCACGGGUGCGUAACGCGUAUGCAAUCUACCUUUCACAGAGGGAUAGCCCAGAGAAAUUUGGAUUAAUACCUCAUAGUAUUAUGAAAUGGCAUCAUUUUAUAAUUAAAGUCACAACGGUGAAAGAUGAGCAUGCGUCCCAUUAGCUAGUUGGUAAAGGUAACGGCUUACCAAGGCUACGAUGGGUAGGGGUCCUGAGAGGGAGAUCCCCCACACUGGUACUGAGACACGGACCAGACUCCUACGGGAGGCAGCAGUGAGGAAUAUUGGACAAUGGGCGCAAGCCUGAUCCAGCCAUGCCGCGUGCAGGAUGACGGUCCUAUGGAUUGUAAACUGCUUUUGCACAGGAAGAAACAACGCUACGUGUAGCGUCUUGACGGUACUGUGAGAAUAAGGAUCGGCUAACUCCGUGCCAGCAGCCGCGGUAAUACGGAGGAUCCAAGCGUUAUCCGGAAUCAUUGGGUUUAAAGGGUCCGUAGGCGGUUUGGUAAGUCAGUGGUGAAAGCCCAUCGCUCAACGGUGGAACGGCCAUUGAUACUGCCAGACUUGAAUUAUUAGGAAGUAACUAGAAUAUGUAGUGUAGCGGUGAAAUGCUUAGAGAUUACAUGGAAUACCAAUUGCGAAGGCAGGUUACUACUAAUGGAUUGACGCUGAUGGACGAAAGGCGUGGGUAG
rnacentral:rRNA from 1 species